rnacentral:rRNA from 1 species
GAUCUGCCCUGCACUUUGGGAUAAGCCUGGGAAACUGGGUCUAAUACCGAAUAUUCCCUGCUGGUUGCUUGACUGGUGGGGGAAAGCUUUUGCGGUGUGGGAUGGGCCCGCGGCCUAUCAGCUUGUUGGUGAGGUUAUGGCUUACCAAGGCGACGACGGGUAGCCGGCCUGAGAGGGUGACCGGCCACACUGGGACUGAGAUACGGCCCAGACUCCUACGGGAGGCAGCAGUGGGGAAUAUUGCACAAUGGGCGCAAGCCUGAUGCAGCGACGCCGCGUGAGGGAUGACGGCCUUCGGGUUGUAAACCUCUUUCAGUAGGGACGAAGCGAAAGUGACGGUACCUGCAGAAGAAGGACCGGCCAACUACGUGCCAGCAGCCGCGGUAAUACGUAGGGUCCGAGCGUUGUCCGGAAUUACUGGGCGUAAAGAGCUCGUAGGUGGUUUGUCGCGUUGUUCGUGAAAACUCACAGCUUAACUGUGGGCGUGCGGGCGAUACGGGCAGACUGGAGUACUGCAGGGGAGACUGGAAUUCCUGGUGUAGCGGUGGAAUGCGCAGAUAUCAGGAGGAACACCGGUGGCGAAGGCGGGUCUCUGGGCAGUAACUGACGCUGAGGAGCGAAAGCGUGGGGGAGCGAACAGGAUUAGAUACCCUGGUAGUCCACGCCGUAAACGG